rnacentral:rRNA from 1 species
UUAUGCUAAUAAGAGCGUAUGGUGGAUGCCUUGGCACUAAGAGCCGAUGAAAGACGUGAUAAGCUGCGAAAAGCUUCGGGGAGGAGCAAAUAUCCUGAGAUCCGGAGAUAUCUGAAUGGGGAAACCUACUUGAGAAGACCUCAAGUAUCCACAGCCCAAUCCAUAAGCUGUGGAAGGGAACCCGGUGAACUGAAACAUCUAAGUAGCCGGAGGAAGAGAAAACAACAUGUGAUUCCGUAAGUAGCGGCGAGCGAACGCGGAAGAGCCCAAACCGGAGUGCGUGCACUCCGGGGUUCGGACUGCAGGAUUGACGAGUGAGCCUAGUAGAAUGGUUUUGGGAAAGCCAGCCAGAGAGGGUGAAAGCCCCGUACACGAAAGGCAAGCGAGCAUGGCAGGAUCCAGAGUACCACGAGACACGUGAAACCUUGUGGGAAUGAGCGGGGACCACCCCGUAAGGCUAAAUACUCCUUAGUGACCGAUAGCGCAUAGUACUGUGAAGGAAAGGUGAAAAGGACCCCGGGAGGGGAGUGAAAGAGAACCUGAAACCAUAUGUUUACAAGCUGUGGAACAUCUUUAUAUGAUGAACCGCGUACUUUUUGUAGAACGGUCCGGCGAGUUACGCUGGCUGGCGAGGUUAAGGGCUGAAGGCCUGGAGCCGAAGGGAAACCGAGUCUGAACAGGGCGAAAUAGUCAGUCGGAGUAGACCCGAAACCGGGUGAUCUAUCCAUGUCCAGGUUGAAGUUGCCGUAAAAGGCAAUGGAGGACCGAACCCACAUCCGUUGAAAAGGGUGGGGAUGAGGUGUGGAUAGGGGAGAAAUUCCAAUCGAACCCGGAGAUAGCUGGUUCUCCUCGAAAUAGCUUUAGGGCUAGCCUCAUGCAAGUCUUACGGAGGUAGAGCACUGAAUUCCUAAGGGGGCGUCAAAGCUUACCAAGGGAUAUCAAACUCCGAAUGCCGUGUAGAUGGUGCAUGGGAGUCAGACUAUCCGAGAUAAGUUGGGUAGUCAAAAGGGAAAGAGCCCAGACCUACAGCUAAGGUCCCAAAAUGUGUGUUAAGUGGAAAAGGAUGUGGGAUUUCGAAGACAACUAGGAUGUUGGCUUAGAAGCAGCCAUCCAUUAAAAGAGUGCGUAAUAGCUCACUAGUCGAGAGGUCCUGCGCCGAAAAUGUCCGGGGCUGAAACACACUACCGAAGCUUGGGAAUUGACGAAUGUUAAUUGGUAGAGGAGCAUUCUUAACGGGGCGAAGCUGUACCGGAAGGAGCAGUGGACUGUUAAGAAGAGAGAAUGCCGGAAUGAGUAGCGAGAGGAAGGUGAGAAUCCUUCCGGCCGAAUAUCUAAGGUUUCCAGAGUAAAGCUGAUCUGCUCUGGGUAAGUCGGGGCCUAAGGCGAGGUCGAAAGACGUAGUCGAUGGAUAACAGGUAAAGAUUCCUGUACUGUAUCAUAACAGAACUGUGGGGACGCAGACAGAGAGCAUAAGCCGGGAAUGGAAAGACCGGUACAAGCGAGGUAGGAGUGCAUCAGGCAAAUCCGGUGCACAAUCUGAAGACGUGAUGUGGGGCGUAAAGCCGGAAGUAUGUGAGCUGGCUGCCAAGAAAAGCCGCUAUUGUUUAUGAUAUACCCGUACCGUAAACCGACACAGGUGGAUGAGGAGAGAAUCCUAAGGCCGACGGGAGAAGCAUUGUUAAGGAACUCGGCAAAAUGACUCCGUAACUUCGGGAGAAGGAGUGCCAUGUAAAAGUGGCCGCAGAGAAUUGGCCCAAGCAACUGUUUAGCAAAAACACAGGUCUAUGCAAAACCGAAAGGUGAGGUAUAUGGGCUGACGCCUGCCCGGUGCUGGAAGGUUAAGGGGAGAGGUUAGCCGUAAGGCGAAGCUUUGAACUUAAGCCCCAGUAAACGGCGGCCGUAACUAUAACGGUCCUAAGGUAGCGAAAUUCCUUGUCGGGUAAGUUCCGACCCGC